GAUGAACGCUGGCGGCGUGCCUAAUACAUGCAAGUCGAGCGAACAGGCGCGGAGCUUGCUUCUCUCACGUUUGCCGCGCACGUGUGAGUAACACGUGUAUAACCUACCUAUAAGACUGGGAUCACUUCGGAAAACCGGCGCUUAUCCCGUAUAAUAUCUUGCACCGCAUUGUGCAAUGGUGAAUGUCGGUUUUGCUGUCACUUCUCGCGGCAUCCGCGCCGCAUGAGCUGGUUGUUAAGGUCCCGGCUUACCACGGCUACGAUGCGUAGCCGAACUGAGAGGGGGGUAGGCGACACUGGAACGGAGACAGGGUCCAGAGUCCUACGGGAGGGAGCAGUAGGGAACCGGACGCAAUGGGCGAAAGCCUGACGGAACAACGCCACGUGAGAGAUGAAGGUGCUCGGUGCGUAAAGCUCUGUUAUGAGGGAAGAACAAAUGUGUAAGUAACUGUGCACGUAUUGACGGUACCGAAUCAGAAAGCAACGGCUAACUACGUG
rnacentral:rRNA from 1 species